GUUCUAUAGAUUUUUAUUUUAGAUUUGACCUGCUCUAUGAUUUAAAGUUAAAUGGCUGCGGUAUUUUAACUGUACUAAGGUAGCAUAAUAAUUUGUCUUUUAAUUGAAGACUAGAAUGAAUGGUUGGAUGAAGGGAAAUCUUUUUUUACUUUAUUGUUUGAAUUUUAUUUUUUAGUCAAAAAGCUUAAAUUUUUUUAUAGGACGAGAAGACCCUAUAGAAUUUUAUUAUUUAAAUUUAAAUAAGUUUUUUUGGUUAUAGUAUUUAUUAAAGUUUAAUUAAUUUUGUUGGGGAGAUUUGAAAAUUAAUAUAACUUUUCAUAAAUUAUUCAUAAAUUAUUGUAUUUUUGUUCCUAAAUUUUAGGUUAUAAGAUUAAAUUACCUUAGGGAUAACAGCGUUAUUUUUUUGGAAAGUUCUUAUUGAUGAAAAAGUUUGCGA
rnacentral:rRNA from 1 species